UACGGAGGGGGCUAGCGUUGUUCGGAAUUACUGGGCGUAAAGCGUGCGCAGGCGGUUCGCCAAGUCAGGUGUGAAAUCCCCGGGCUUAACCUGGGAAUUGCGCUUGAAACUAGCGGGCUUGAGUGCGGGCAGAGGGGGUGGGAAUUCCACGUGUAGCAGUGAGAUGCGUAGAGAUGUGGAGGAACACCGAUGGCGAAGGCAGCCCCCUGGGUCGACACGUGACGCUCAUGCACGAAAGCGUGGGGAGCAAACAGG
rnacentral:rRNA from 1 species